rnacentral:lncRNA from 1 species
AGAAGAUGGCGACCGGCAACGUUUUAAGGUGCAACAGCUGGGGAACCACCAGGAAAACCUUGCUUCCCUGUCUUAGCAUCUGGAGUCUUCAUGGAAGUGAGAAGUUUGCAGGUUUGCAGCUGCAGCCCUUUCAUGACAAGUUCGAUUUUUCCUGCAUAACUUCAUGCUGGUGUCAUAUAUUCUUUCAUGCGUUCCCUGGUGACCACAGCUCUCCUGCCAUUUACCUUGCUCCAGGCCCAGCUCUUUCCUCUGGGAUUUUCCUUAACAAUAUUCAAACAUUAGCUCUUCCACCGUCACUAAAGUCUGCCUACAUUAAAAACAGCCAUCAUCAACAAAAACCCUUGAUGCAAAUGAAUUUAUGUACAAAGCAGAAAUAGACCCACAGACAGAGAAAAUUAGCUAAUGGUUACCAAAGAGGAAAGGGAGAUGGAGAGGGACAAAUCAGGAGCUCGGGAUUAACAAGUCCACACUAUUAUACGUAAAAUAGAUAAGCAACAAGGACCAACUGUAUAACCUAGGAAACUAUACUCAAUAUUUCACACUAAUCUCUAAGGGAAAAGAAUCUAGCUUAUAUUCACACACACACAUAUGUCUAUGUAUGUAUAACUGAAUCACUUUGCUGUACACCUGUAAGUAACACAACAUUGUAAAUCAACUAUACUUCAACAACAACAACAAAAAAAUAAAAAUAAAAAAGAAAAGGAAAACA